rnacentral:rRNA from 1 species
UAGGGAAUCUUCCGCAAUGGACGCAAGUCUGACGGAGCAACGCCGCGUGAGUGAAGAAGGAUUUCGGUUCGUAAAACUCUGUUGUUAGAGAAGAACAGCGCAUAGAGUAACUGUUAUGCGUGUGACGGUAUCUAACCAGAAAGCCACGGCUAACUACGUGCCAGCAGCCGCGGUAAUACGUAGGUGGCAAGCGUUGUCCGGAUUUAUUGGGCGUAAAGCGAGCGCAGGCGGUCAAUUAAGUCUGAUGUGAAAGCCCCCGGCUCAACCGGGGAGGGUCAUUGGAAACUGGUUGACUUGAGUGCAGAAGAGGAGAGUGGAAUUCCAUGUGUAACGGUGAAAUGCGUAGAUAUAUGGAGGAACACCAGUCGCGAAGGCGACUCUCUGGUCUGUAACUGACGCUGAGGCUCGAAAGCGUGGGUAGCAAACAGG